AUCCUGGCUCAGGAUGAACGCUAGCGGCAGGCUUAACACAUGCAAGUCGAGGGGCAACGCGAGUAGCAAUACUUGGCGGCGACCGGCGCAAGGGUGCGUAACGCGUGAGCAACAUGCCCGUAUCAGGGGGAUAAUCCAGGGAAACUUGGUCUAAUACCCCAUAGUAAUUUUUGUAAGGCAUCUUAUAAGAUUUUAAAGCUUUGGUGGAUACGGAUUGGCUCGCGUGACAUUAGCUGGAUGGUAAGGUAACGGCUUACCAUGGCUAUGAUGUCUAGGGGUUCUGAGAGGAAGGUCCCCCACACUGGAACUGAGACACGGUCCAGACUCCUACGGGAGGCAGCAGUGAGGAAUAUUGGACAAUGGAUGGAAAUCUGAUCCAGCCAUGCCGCGUGAAGGAAGAAAGGUCCUAUGGAUUGUAAACUUCUUUUGUAUGGGAGCAAUAAGGCCUACGAGUAGGUUGAUGAGAGUACCAUACGAAUAAGCACCGGCUAACUCCGUGCCAGCAGCAGC
rnacentral:rRNA from 1 species